rnacentral:rRNA from 1 species
AUUGAACGCUGGCGGCAUGCCUUACACAUGCAAGUCGAACGGCAGCACGGGUGCUUGCACCUGGUGGCGAGUGGCGAACGGGUGAGUAAUACACCGGAACGGACCUUAUCGUGGGGGAUAACGCAGCGACAGCUGUGCUAAUACCGCAUACGCCCUGAGGGGGAAAGCGGGGGAUCGCAAGACCUCGCGCGAUUAGAGCGGCCGAUGCCUGAUUAGCUUGUUGGUGGGGUAAAAGCCCACCAAGGCGACGAUCAGUAGCUGGUCUGAGAGGACGAUCAGCCACACUGGGACUGAGACACGGCCCAGACUCCUACGGGAGGCAGCAGUGGGGAAUUUUGGACAAUGGGGGCAACCCUGAUCCAGCAAUGCCGCGUGAGUGAAGAAGGCCUUCGGGUUGUAAAGCUCUUUUGUCAGGGAAGAAACACCGGCUCUAACACAGUCCGGGAAUGACGGUACCUGAAGAAUAAGCACCGGCUAACUACGUGCCAGCAGCCGCAGUAACAC